rnacentral:misc_RNA from 1 species
GAUGAAGAACGCAGCGAAAUGCGAUAAGUAGUGUGAAUUGCAGAAUUCAGUGAAUCAUCGAAUCUUUGAACGCACAUUGCGCCCCUUGGUAUUCCAUGGGGCAUGCCUGUUCGAGCGUCAUUUGUACCUUCAAGCUUUGCUUGGUGUUGGGUGUUUGUCCUGAGGGACUCGCCUUAAAGUAAUUGGCAGCCAGUGUUUGGUUUUGGAGCGCAGCACAAGUCGCGAUUCAAGGCUAUACACCAGCUUCCACAAGCCUUUUUCACUUUUGACCUCGGAUCAGGUAGGGAUACCCGCUGAACUUAAGCAUAUCAAUAAGCGGAGGA